rnacentral:rRNA from 1 species
GGGGAAUAUUGGGCAAUGGGCGAAAGCCUGACCCAGCAACGCCGCGUGAGGGAAGAAGGUCUUCGGAUUGUAAACCUUUGUCCUAUGGGACGAAACAAAUGACGGUACCAUAGGAGGAAGCUCCGGCUAACUACGUGCCAGCAGCCGCGGUAAUACGUAGGGAGCAAGCGUUGUCCGGAAUUACUGGGCGUAAAGGGUGCGUAGGUGGCCAAAUAAGUCAGGUGUGAAAGACCGGGGCUCAACCCCGGGGUUGCACUUGAAACUGUAUGGCUUGAGUACAGGAGAGGGAAGUGGAAUUCCUAGUGUAGCGGUGAAAUGCGUAGAUAUUAGGAGGAACACCAGUGGCGAAGGCGACUUUCUGGACUGUAACUGACACUGAGGCACGAAAGCGUGGGGAGCAAAC